UUAAAAAGCUCGUAGUUGGAUCUCAACAGCCUUGAAAGCGGUUAACUUUGUAGUUUUACUGCUUUAUAGGCUGUGCUUUUGCUGGAGGUUUAGGGGUGCUCUUGAUCGAGUGUCUCUGGAUGCCAGCAGGUUUACUUUGAAAAAAUUAGAGUGCUCAAAGCAGGCUAAAAUGCCUGAAUAUUCGUGCAUGGAAUAAUAGAAUAGGAUGUCGAUCCUAUUUUGUUGGUUUUCGGGACUCGACAUAAUGAUAAAUAGGGACAGUCGGGGGCAUUUGUAUUCAAACGACAGAGGUGAAAUUCUUGGACCGUUUGAAGACUAUACUACUGCGAAAGCAUUUGCCAAGAAUGUUUUCAUUACUCAAGAACGA
rnacentral:rRNA from 1 species